CCUUAAAACAUCUCGAAAUAUAAUAAACAUCUCUGUCCUCCAGUUCUCAUCUCUUUGUUUCUUCCCUCUUCCGUACUCCAUCUUCCACAAUUAACAACAGUCAUCGACUAUCAAUUCAUAGUGAAAUUAUAUUGAGAUUCACUAAAUCUAAUAAAUUUGCAUCAAUGUCUCUCAUACUCUUCCAAAAUAUAAGGGCUUUGAUUUUCUAUUUUUCAAACCCUAAAUUAUGGGGUGAACAAAUCAAAGGUGCGAUAAAAAGAGAAAUCAGAUACUCAAGUCUGCGUUAAUCGGAAGGGAGAAAUUUCAUCGAACGCGCGCUUCCAAUUUCAGGUUUUCAUCGAUUCGCGGUUCCAAUUUCCUGGUCUUAAUUGUCGUCUCCAUCAUGGUGUUGAUUGAGUUUUAUUGAAUUCUCGGGCUUCCAUUUUGAGGAGUCGAGGACAACAUGUCAGAUUAUGAAAGAUUACGGCAAAAGAGGAUAGAAGAUAAUGGUUUACCAAGUAAGUGAAAUGGUGAAUAGCUCAAAAUAAACGAAGAGGAGUAAGAUGCAAUGGCAGAAGGCGACUAAAGAUAGUAACGAAUAAAUAUCUGGUGUAGAGGGUGAAAAAAAUCACUCAAAUGAAGGGGAUAACAAUGAGAUGAGGACAAGGAGUGUAAACUUGAGGUCUGGCUAUAAGAAGGUUCAUGGUUCCUUUAUGUAAUGACAAUUUUGAAUUAUAAUUAGUUAACAAUUCAUGUAAAAAAUUUAAUAAUUUUAAACAUAAUUGUUUUUAGGUUUCUGCGAUGGGAGGGAGAAGUCCCACUAUGAUGAAAGAGACUUCAGAAGGAUAAGAUUAAUAUUAGCAGUAUUGACACUAUUUCAACCCGUCUCCUCUUCUUUAGUUGUCAUGGAUACAGAGUCGAAAGAAGGCAGGUGAUGCAUCUAAAAAAUAAGGAAAAGACUAGUCCAAGGACCGAUGAUAGGUCCUUUAGAUGAGAAAGGGAAGUAGAACAAAAUCGCAAGAUUGAUCCGAGGAUAUUAAAUCUGAGCUGUCUGAUAGUGAAGAAAAUGACAUGUCUGAAGAUGACUCUAAACAUCGUACCACAUUCGUUUUUUAGGGAUCGAGAAGUUUUCUUGUUGCAGUUGUUGUUCUAUACUACUCGAAUUCAGACAUUGGACUGUUGUGGUUGUUACAUUGGUAAUAUUGGUGGAGUUGGCUAGUGGUUCAUCUAUGUUGUUUGGUUGGUUGUUGUUGUUUGGUGACUCGUGUCUACUGUUGGUUUCUCAUUUUCUGCCAAACUUGUUGAUUUUGGUGCUCCCUGUUGUGAAGACUAGGGUAUGUUGUGUUUUGAUUGUUGGUUUAAGUUGCACUUGUUGAGUUUACAGACGGAGGUUCAUGGGUGUUGUUUCAAUCUGGUGGGAAGCAUUGUAUGGCGUUGGCUUGAAGAGCAAUUUCUGUUAUUGCUUCUCUGUUUCAGUUCUGGUCAUUGUUGGCCUGAGGUGACUGUUUUGCUCAUUUUCUGUGUUGGUAGGAUUAUAAGUGUCUUUUCUUUGAUUUUGAGUUUGUGGAUGUUUUUGUACAUAACGAUGAAAUUGUUCAAUUUAAACUAUUGUCUAUCAUAUAUCAAUUUCACAUUUGUGAUUGGUGUUGUUCA